GAACGCUGGCGGCAUGCCUUACACAUGCAAGUCGAACGGCAGCACGGGAGCAAUCCUGGUGGCGAGUGGCGAACGGGUGAGUAAUAUAUCGGAACGUGCCCAGUCGUGGGGGAUAACGUAGCGAAAGCUACGCUAAUACCGCAUACGAUCUACGGAUGAAAGCGGGGGAUCGCAAGACCUCGCGCGAUUGGAGCGGCCGAUAUCAGAUUAGGUAGUUGGUGAGGUAAAGGCUCACCAAGCCGACGAUCUGUAGCUGGUCUGAGAGGACGACCAGCCACACUGGGACUGAGACACGGCCCAGACUCCUACGGGAGGCAGCAGUGGGGGAAUAUUGGACAAUGGGCGAAAGCCUGAUCCAGCAAUGCCGCGUGAGUGAUGAAGGCCUUCGGGUUGUAAAGCUCUUUUACUCGGGACGAUAAUGACGGUACCGAGAGAAUAAGCCCCGGCUAACUCCGUG
rnacentral:rRNA from 1 species